rnacentral:rRNA from 1 species
AACGGCCGUACCAUGUUGAAUAUACCGGUUCACGUUAGAUCACCGAAGUCAAGCAUCAUUGGGCGCGGUCAGUACUUGGGUGGGUGACCACCUGGGAACACUGCGUGCCGUU